CGCCGGGACCGGGCACCACGGGCACCACGGGCACCACGGGCCCCGCGGGCCCGCGCCCAGGGAGCGGAGCGGAGCGCCCAGGCCCGCGCUGCCCAGCGGAGGUGCCGCCGGUCCGCCCGCGCGGGGCCCAGGGAGCGGGCACAGCCCUCGUCCCGUCCCGCCGGUUGGCGGCUCCCCGGGCCCGGCGGCGGCGCGGGGUGUCCCGGCUGGGCUCCGCCGCCAAGUGCGGCCUAAACGGGUUGGCGGGGACCGGGCUGUGGCCAUCCCUGGGCGGUGCGGGGAAACAAGGGCCGGAGGGCGGCCUUGCCUCUCCGUCCAUCCGUCCCUGCAUCCAUCCGUCCGUCCAUCCCUCCCUGCAUCCAUCUCUCCCUCCCUCCAUCCAUCCGCGGUGCCAUCGGUGAAUGCCGCGAUUCGGUCCCCGUCCCCCCCGACAGCCCGUACCGUUGUGCCCGCCGAGUGACCCGACCCCACCGGGCGGGGGGCGCGCACAGGGCCGGGGCUCGGUACAGCUCGGUGUUUUUCCCCUCGCCGUGUUCCGACUAAUCACAAAAGAAGGAAGUGCGUUUUUCCACAGGUUUUUGAGCCGACGGACCCGUGAUCUGCACAGCGGCCCUUGCUCAGGCUUAGCACUCCAGCACUGAGCGUCCUGUGAGUGUCGCAACUAUCUGAGGUCACAGAGGCAUCGAGCAGCUUUCGUAUCAGCUAAUAAAGCCACACGAUGAUACCUUUGAAUCAAGAUAUUCCGCCGGGUUUAGGGAACACGGUUCUUUUAUUGGGUUUUUAUAGAGUUACAGGCGAUUUUCCCGGACCCUCUGAGCUUCCUGCCGCCGCAGCCGGGCUGGCCCCGGGCAGAGCUGCGGGGGGAGCCCGGCGCGACCGCCCACGGUGGCGGGGCCUGUCGCGGGGAGCGACCGCGGACACACGCUAAGGGCCGACAGGGGGGGAUGAAAAGUUAAACUGUACCUUCAGGAGAGUCCGCGUUCCCAAAGAAAAACCCUGGGAAUUGCUUAGAGCCUGUCUGCGGGCGCUGCUGGGGGGCGCGGGCUCCAGGGCGCCGGAGCUGCGCGUCUGUCGGCGGUGUUGCGGGUCCCCGGGCGGGCGGGCGGACGCCACACCGAAACGCCACUUGCGAUGCAACACCACGGCGUCAGAGAAGCUGGGUUUUUUAUAUUUUAUCGUGUUGCUGCUCUAGUUUAUGUUGGCAGGGCUUGCCAAGAGGGUUUUAUUGCCCGCUGACGUUAGCUUAACAAUUCGAGCUCCCCACCGACGACCGGAGGGAUGAUAAAUUAAUUGCCCUCACACCUGCACGUUUUUUUUUUCCCAGUUCUAUGUUACAGACAGUUCUGUAAUAAGUACAAGGUAUGGUGCAAUGCCAGGUACAGCCUAUGCUAAAUUACAAACAAAUCCACCCACACAUUACUAGAGAGUAACUAUAAUAAAGGCUGAAAAGCAAGUUUUAGCAACUGGAGUAAGGCCAAUUAAUUCCUGGCACGAAUUGAAGCUAUAGGUAUGUUGUCAAGAUUAGUUACACGACGUUCACGUCUAUUACAGUCAUAUUUUAAAUAAUGAUAUCUACAUUAGAUCAAAACAGGAAGGAUUUGAUCCAGAACGUGAAGAGAAGGUGAAAACCUGCACAUGCCCCACGUCGCAGGAAGUUCACGUUCAAGUCACAACGAAAGUUUCUAUUCCCCUUCUCACCUUCUCACAACCCCUCGCUGCGAGCCACUCGAGCUGUGUUGUGUUCUUCAAAGAGUGUUAGACAAAUUUUAGGGGGAUUAUCUUCGUCAUUCACGAGACGAAACGAUCAGGACUAACGAGCUACUUUCUGCAAAGACGUUUGACAGAGCCCCGCGGUAGAGGAGGCUUCGCGGCAUUUUCUGGCCGGGCAGUUUGACUUGCAGGAGGCCUGCAGCACUCCAACUACCCUCUACUUAAUUAUUUUUGCUAUGUGGUGUGAUUAACAGAAGAUGCGAACUUUAUUCUGAACUGUAAACCAACAAAAAAUAAUGUGAGACUGUUGUAAGACUUGCAGGUCUAAUUUUGCAGUAAUUUAGCAACAGGGAACACCACCAAAGCCUGUGGAUUUUAGUAGCGAUUAGUCACAAAAUAAAGUCACUUACAAGCCA